UUUCUAAAAAGAGCACUAGAGGUACGCUGGGAAAAAAUAUAUGUUUAAUUACACAUUUAAAAAAAAAGUAUGUUAAACACAAGCAUACUUUUACAGAGGUUUUAGUGUAUUUAGAAAAAAACAUAUAUUUUUUUAAACAUGUACAUUCAUUUUAAUAGGCUAACAUUGCAAUUUCAACAUCAUAUCAUUGAACUUGCAUUAUAUAUUGAUUUCACAAAGUUAGUCCACAUAAAUUUGUUAGUGUUUAUAUUCAAACAACACACGUGACGGACCUGACUAAACCUCAUUGGUUCUUGGGAUUCAGUACGUCACAUUGGCUUCCUGAUUCAGUUGUUCGAUACACAACGUGCGUGAUCGUUGGUAAAUGUGGAUUAAAAGUUGAAACUAAAACUGUUAAAUUAUAUAUAGUGAUCAUCAGAGGACUUGGCUGAAACAACGCGAUUCACAUGGAUUACUUCGGCGAUGUUUUUUAUUGCUGUUGCGAUUAACUUUUUGAAAUGUGAGCAGUUUUUAAGUAGGUUAUCAAGUGGAUCUGACAUCGAGGGGAAAUAUACGUUUCUUGGAUUUCAUUAAAGUACAUCGGUUUUUGUUUGAAGAUGAAUGAGAGAACAUGAGGCACAGCGGCAUUCAAAUUGACCAAUCAGAGCCGAGAAUAUCUAAUAAGUCGAAGUAGAGAUGAACAGAUGAAGAUACAGCCCGUAAAAAUACUUAUUCUUGGUGAGUGCCAUGUAGCGACGGAUCAAACGGACACUCAUGUCAAGCUUGAUGAGGACACAGUCAAAGCUUUGAAAGGUAAACUGAGAAGUUAACAAAAUUCUAAUGCAUAUGUUCAUUAAUUAUUGGUUAAUUUUGUAUAUAUUCUGUUUCCUUUUCACAGACCUU